GUCGGGCAAUUGAUUAUAUGAGUUUGUUAGAAAAAACACUUUCCUUUGCUCCUAGCGCCUUCUGAAGCGCUGUAUAGCGUUUUGAGCGUAUAAAGAGCACAAGUGUGUCUCGGGACACAGGAUGAAUGGGAACUAGUUUUGUUAUUGUACUUUUGAUGAAAAGUGACUUUCUAGAUAUAAAAUGUCACUUUUUUCACCUUAUCACACUGUAACAUCAACUUUUACAUUUUAAAGUAAACAAUCAUAUUUCGUAAUAUUUUAUGUCAGAAACAUUUCAUAGUACUAUAUUAUGUCUAACUAUGUGAAAAAAUCAAAUUGGAGUAGGUCGGGCAACUGAUUAUAUGAGUUUGUUAGAAAAACCACUUUCCUUUGCUCCUAGCGCCUUCUCGUUCGCUGUAUAGCGUUUUGAGCGGAUAAAGAGCACAAGUGUGUAAGGGGACACAGAAUGAAUGGGAACUAGUUUUGUUAUUGCACUUUUGAUGUAAAGUGACUUUCUAGACAUAAAAUGUCACUUUUUUCACCUUAUCACACUGUAACAUCAACUUUUACAUUUUAAUGUAAACAAUCAUAUUUCGUAAUAUUUUAGGUCAGAAACAUUUCAUAGUACUAUACUAUGUCUAAAUAUGUGAAAAGAAUCAAAUUGGAGUAGGUCGGGCACUUGAUUAUAUGAGUUUGUUAGAAAAACCACUUUCCUUUGCUCCUAGCGCCUUCUCGUUCGCUGUAUAGCGUUUUGAGCGGAUAAAGAGCACAAGUGUG
ensembl:lncRNA